GACGGGAGGGGCGAGCGUUACCCGGAGUUACUGGGUGUGAAGGGUCUGCAGGCUGUUCGACGUGCCUGACUUGAAAUACUUCGGCUCAACCGGAGAAUUGGGUCAGAGACUAUUGAACUUGAGUCUGGGGGAGGAAAACGGAACUGCCGGUGUAGCGGUGAAAUGCGUAGAUAUCGGCAGGAACACCCGUGGCGAAGGCGGUUUUCUACCCCGGUACUGACGCUGAGGGACGAAAGCGUGGGGAG
rnacentral:rRNA from 1 species